rnacentral:rRNA from 1 species
GACGAACGCUGGCGGCGUGCUUAACACAUGCAAGUCGAACGGAAAGGCCCUGCUUUUGUGGGGUGCUCGAGUGGCGAACGGGUGAGUAACACGUGAGUAACCUGCCCUUGACUUUGGGAUAACUUCAGGAAACUGGGGCUAAUACCGGAUAGGAGCUCCUGCUGCAUGGUGGGGGUUGGAAAGUUUCGGCGGUUGGGGAUGGACUCGCGGCUUAUCAGCUUGUUGGUGGGGUAGUGGCUUACCAAGGCUUUGACGGGUAGCCGGCCUGAGAGGGUGACCGGCCACAGUGGGACUGAGAUACGGCCCAGACUCCUACGGGAGGCAGCAGUGGGGAAUAUUGCACAAUGGGCGGAAGCCUGAUGCAGCAACGCCGCGUGCGGGAUGACGGCCUUCGGGUUGUAAACCGCUUUCGCCUGUGACGAAGCGUGAGUGACGGUAAUGAGUAAAGAAGCACCGGCUAACUACGUG